rnacentral:rRNA from 1 species
AGCAGCCGCGGUAAUUCCAGCUCCAAUAGCGUAUAUUAAAGUUGUUGCAGUUAAAAAGCUCGUAGUUGAAUUUCGGGAUCAAUCUGUUGGUCGUGCCUUUGGUACGUACUAGCUUAUUGAUUUCUCCCUUCUGACGAACCAUGAUGUCAUUAAUUUGGUGUCAUGGGAAAUCAGGACUGUUACUUUGAAAAAAUUAGAGUGUUUAAAGCAGGCUCACGCUUGAAUACAUUAGCAUGGAAUAAUGAAAUAGGACGUUUUGAUUCUAUUUUGUUGGUUUCUAGGAUCGACGUAAUGAUUAAUAGGGAUAGUUGGGGGCAUUAGUAUUCAAUUGUCAGAGGUGAAAUUCUUGGAUUUAUUGAAGACUAACUACUGCGAAAGCAUUUGCCAAGGAUGUUUUCAUUAAUCAAGAACGAAAUUAGGGGAUCGAAGACGAUCAGAUACCGUCGUAGUCUUAACCAUAAACUAUGCCGACUAGGGAUCGGAUGAUGUAAUUUUUAAUGA